AGAACUCUAAUCUAAUCUAAUCUCAUCCAUGAUCCAUCAUUUCUACACUCUAUGCUCUCUCUCUUCUCUAUUCAACUGCAUAUGCUUUCUAUUACUAUGUUAUAUUUUCCAGUACGGUAGGCUAUAUAGUUUGAGUCUCUCCACUUACUACCUGCUCCACAGUUUCGAAUAAUAGUCCCUUCUUUUGUAAUAGUGUAGGUCUGUCACCAUUGUCCACUGGUCUACCCUCUCUUUCUCAACUCACUCCUUCUCAGUCGGAGUAUUUCGCGCCCUUUUUGGUUGGGUUUGCCUUUUGGUUAGUUGUAGUGUUGUAGUCACUAAACUGUCACUAGUCAGUCGCAAGGGCCAGUUAGUUCAGUUCAUCAUGUAUUGAAUACAGAUUACAGUUCAUGUUUCCAGUGUUUUAUCCGGGAAUUUAUUUGUUUUGAAGUCACUUGAUCUUCUAUUAUCAAUGAGACGUAUGUCGCGUCAUGCGCCGAUACAGCUUUGGAGGGGCGCACAAUCACGAGUAUCAUGGGGAAGCUGGUGACCCUUCGUUGCCAUAUACUUUUCGUGGAAAAGAGUUCAACGCAAGGACGACCAUGAGAUAGAGAAAAAACCAUUCAAGGGCCUUCUCAUAACUAAAGUUAUGAUUGACAUGGAGAAAAGGAGAAGAAACAGUCGUCUGCUGAAGUCAAUGAAGUCGAGACAGUUGAA